GAGCAAAAUCUCCACCAGUUGAGAAUCACUGCUCUAACCUCUCUCAACUUUGUUAGCCUGCACUUUCUGGCCCGAGAACUGGGACGGUAAGGAUGCCCAUGCGUUCACAUCUAUUUACAGUCCUCCAAGCCCCUUCUCUGCUCUAUACGAACCCAUUCCAACAACCUCAGGAGGCAAGGAGGGACGGAUACUGUUCUCUCCACUUUACGGGCACGUGAACUGACUCAGAACACCCCGCCCUCAAGUAGGAAACCCUAUCAAGGCAGCCAGACACCACCCUGACAGGCUUCAUCCUUGCAUCUUGAGAGGGGAAAAGGGGACAGCUGACUGGCAGAGGAGGGAACCUCCCCCCACCCCAAGCUACCAAUAAUGGUCCUUUUAUUUUUCUUUUAAAGUGUCCAGCUGUUGCCAGGAAUACCAUAUAAAACAUCUUUAUGAAGUGAACACCAGCCCCAACAGCUUAUACAAGCUGGCUUCGUCAAGGGCCCCGGUGUUUCUAAUUAACGCUCCAGUCCCUGCUCCACGCGAGCCCUACCUGCGUCGCCUCCCCUGGCUUUUGACUUCUGGCUGACCUGCACGUGGCCCUUGUGCCUGUGACCAGUAAACACCCCUGAUGUUCCUGCCAGGUCUGGGAGGGCAGGAAUAAAAGUCACUUCCAACCAGCUGCGCCCCAGCCUGCACGUGGACUGCUCAGGGCAGGCACCGGGGAGCACACCGCCCUGCCCUGCGCUGUCCCGCUGAGCAGCACCUGCCUGCGAGCAUCUCUCCUGAGCUCAUCAUCAGUGUGGCCACCCUGGGCCUUCGGGGGACAGCAGAAGGAGUCUCCUCACCACCUCACAGCCAACUCAUUCUUGAAACAUCGGGCAGGAACCUUCACCACCCUCCCCACACUUGAGAUUUCUGGGACUCGUGAGGGCCAGGGGUAAGAGACAGUGCCAUCACCGGAAAGGGCAGAAUAGGAGCAGGUGGUCAAAACAAAAUCAGCUUUCAAAGAUGUCUUUGUGGAUGAACUUCCUGCUGAAGACAAGUAACUUCGUGCUGGCAACCUGAGACUCGGGCUCCCAGCCACUCUCAUGUCUCCACUACCAACUUUUUCUCAUGGAUGUGAUCCAUGUAGCUCAAUUCAGGGUCAAAAAUUACCCUACACAAAUCAUGAGUCUUUCAUCCAAGUAAUGGCCGACUGACUAGCCAAGUCCAACCCCAGAAGGAAUAGAGCAUUUGGGCAAGGUGACCUGGUUUACAAAUUUGACUCCCUUUGGAUCCAGUCUGUGCUUUAUCUGCAGGACCUUGUGACCACUCUUCCAUAGUUACUGAUGCCAGGCUUUGAAUUCUGGAAGGAUCAUGGUAUCCCAUCCCAGAUUAUAUAGGCUAAAUGUUACCAACUCUUCAGAGUAUCUGGAAGAACCCUGCUUUCUAUCUCAAAGGAAGGAGUCAUGAGAUUUCUCUUGUGAUAUAUGAGGAAAAGCAGAAGGCAGAACUGUCUUCUUUCUCAAAACUGAAAGAGAAACCAACCACAUUCCUUUGAAAGCAUGAGAAAUUGCUGUAUGAACUUUCUUCUCCGAAGAGGAAUAGUUUUCCUAUGUACUAGUGUGCUAAUGUGCUCUCUGUGGCUGGGGCUCAAAUUUGGAAUUAGCCUUGAAAAUUCUGUUAGAGUUUAGCUUCAAUCUUGUUUGAAUUCUUUUUCACUCAGAAUUGAAUAUCUCUCAGGUACAUGUUGUGAAUAACUCAGAGCUGAAUAUCACUCAAUAUGUAUCUUUUUGUAAAAAAUACAAAGAAGCAAAAUAACUAUGACUGAAGAGAGAAAUGGAUAGCAGGAUGCUGUGUGACCUUUAGUGGGUUUUAUAACCUCUCUGAGCCUCAGUUUCCUCAUUGGUAUAUGGGGACAAUAAGGGUACCUACUGGUGGAAGAUUGCAGAAAUGUCCACAACCCUUCACUCCUUUUCAUCCAAACCCUUUGCAGUGUGACCUUGCAGGUCCUUGCACCAAGUAAUGAAAUUUAUUUCCUACCCCUGUUAAUCUGAUCUGAACUUGUGACUUGCUUUGGACAAUGAAGUGUGACGGAAGUGAGAGCAUGCCGACUCUAAGCCUAAGCCUUGAGAGGCCCUGGCUGCUUCCACUGUCACUCAGAACCCUGUCCAGCCACCAUGGGAACAAGCCCCAGUAAGUCUGCUGAGGAAUGAGAGAUGGCAGGGCAGAGACAAGCAUCCCCUUUGAGGCUGUCCUAGACCAGUCAGCCCCUCGUCAAAAGCCUCUGACCACAUAGACAAGAAAGAGCCCAGUCAAGACCAGAAGAACCACCCAGCUGAGCCCAGCCCAAAUGACUCAGCAGCAGAAUUGUGAGCUAAAAACACAAUCUAGAGCAUUGCAGACCAGCCCCAGAAAUGGCACCUCGAGAACUGCUUUUUCAUAAACUCCAGAGACCAGAGACAUCCUCUCUGCUUUAGAAAAAUGAUGCAGAAGAAAGUCAGUUGGACCAGAGAAGAACUCUGAAAAGAACUCAACUGAAGAUGGACUCUCAGGACUUCAACCAGAGGAUUGCUCCCCAGAGAUCAAUCUAAUUGUGUGGGGAAAUAACUCUGAAUUACUUUGAAGAUUUAUAUUUUCUGUACUCUUUCAACCAAAAAGAAAAAGCUGAGACUCCACUACCCUGUUACAUUUAUAACCUGAGAACCGGGUUGCCAUCCUCACCCUCAGUGUUUUAUCUCAGCUGUCAGUAGUAAGGAACAUUCUGUGACUGAAGCAUUGCCUUCUUAUGGGACUGGAGCAAUGAGAAGAGAGUGUAUUUUGCUAAAUGAUUUUACAUUAAUCUGUGACUACUUUUUACCUUAUCUGUGGUUAUUAAUCUUAAACUCCAAAUGGACUGUACAGAUGAGUUGGGAUAACGGCCUAUUUAUGUUAGAGCAGCUGCCUUCUUUGGUCGGUCACUAGCACUUUCUUGUUUGAAAUAUCCCACAGAUAAUUUUUUUAAACUGGUAGAUACAUAAGAAUGUGUUUUUGUAUUGAAAAUCUCGUGGUAGCUCUCCAAGGCAUGGAACUCCGGAGUUCAUUUGGUUGUAAAAUGGCUGAAUAUGACUGUGGUUUGACAUCUUAGUGGAUUUUUUUUUUAAGGUUCCGGCUCUAUUUCCCUAAAGAUGCACAACGGAGUAGAAGGCUGUCCAGACCAGGUUAGAAGAGGGCUGGGAUACAUGGGAGCUUUAUUCCCCAAUAAUCCUUCUCCUUAAAAGUCAAAUGCAGGUGAGGGAUUUUGCAGUUACAAGUGCCAUAACUGACUCAGAAAAGGAGCACCAAGGGAUGGAUAGUAAGGUCACUGGAUGAAAGGUGUCAGGGAGUGGAUAGUCACAGGGUCUGAAACACUAUCCCUCUGAUGAUUAUUUACAGAGAAGAAAAGUUACCUUCAUAAUGGAGAAAUCUGUUAGGUAAGAAAUCAACUUAGCAAGUAUCAUGGAACACUCUUUGAGUACUUUCUGCUGUGAUGCACUGAGAAAGAUUUGACAUGUCCCAUGUGGUAUUCUUCCUCCCAAAUACAUAAACUGAAUCCAGUCAAGAGGAAACAAUCAGACGUAACCAAAUUCUCCAUCAUUGCAUGUAUCAAAUUCAAUGACAUGCCACAAACCAACUGGCCUGGAUUCUUCAAAAUUGUCAACAUCAUGAAAGAAAAAGAAAUGCAAAGGGAUUUCCUGGAUUAAAGGAAAAUAAAGAAACGUGGCAACUAAGUGGUAUGUCAUUUUUGAUUGGAUCCUGGAUCCAAAAAAAAAAAAAACAAACUAUGAUGCUUAACUAUAGAUUAGACGAUGUUAUUGACUCAGUGUUUAAUUUUGGGGAUGAUAACGCUAUGUGACUGUGUAGGAAAAUGUCCUUUUUCUUAGGAGACACAUGCUGAAGCAUUUAGGGGUGAAUUGUCAUAACACCUGCAACUUAUUUUUGAAUGGUUAAGCAAAUAUAUAUACAUAUGUGUGUAUUUAUACACACAAAAUCUUAUAUACAUGCGUGUCUUCAGAGAGUCAGAUGGAGACUGCAAAUGUGCUAAAAUGGUUUUUAAAAUACAGGUGAGGGGGGACAGCUCAGUUGACAGGGUCCCUGGAGGAAUGCCCAAGGCUUGACAACAGCCUGGCUUCUAGAGGAGAUCAGAAGGUCCACACCAGCCAUUAUCUUCCUCACUGACAUGCCUUUCUCUAAGACACUCUACAUUUUGCUCAUAAAAUGGGGUUCCCACAACAUCUUCAUCUUUCACAUGCUGGUUUUCCUGAGCGCAUACUCCUCUAUUUCAUACUGCAGCCCUGGAGGCCAGACUGCCCUGGUUUUAAUCCCGGCUGUUAAUUUACUAGCUGUGUGGCUUUGGGCAAGUUACUCUCUCUCUCCUGAUCUCAGUAUCCACACCAAUAACUGGGGCAUAAUAGUAAUAGCUAUCUAACAGGGUCGUUUUGAGGAAUAAAGGAGAUGUAACACGAUGCCUUGGCCAUAGCAAAGCUCAAUAUAUAUUUGUUAUUAUUAACAUUAGUCUGCAUGCUGCUAUGAGCUUGCUGAUGAAAACUACGAUAAUAAAAGUAAACAACAAAUAUGUAUUGGGCACCUACACGAUUGGGCACUGUUAUUGUUCAGUGAACAACAGUGAAAGAGCCUUUCCCUAACAGAGCUGACACUGCACCCCACGCUCACCACAGGUCAGGAUGGUGAGAAGAAACUUACACGAAUGAACUCAUUUCAUUCUCAAAACCUCUCUGAGCUGAUCUCAAGCAUUCUGCCAAGUAGCCUAGCUUGGUGGAAACUUCUGGGGCUUUUGAAAAAUAAUUGAGUCAACAUUGGGAAAUGUGGGAGGGAGGGAGGUUGUUUGGCUAUAUUUUGUUUUCGGCUUUCCAAGUCUGUGACAGUGUUUAACGACAAAAACAUUUUCUGGUUGAGCCAGCAGCUGAAGAUUCAAUAGAAACAGAAAUAAUUGAUGGAUCACACUCAUCAUUUCAAGACAGAAUUUAAGACGCUUGGCUUGCAAGGUCCAAGACUUCUACCGGAGCUCCCCGUUCUCGCCAGUGUCACCAUGAUGGUAUUGAUUGGAGAAGAAGAGGCACUCGGCCUCUAAAGGAAGGUGGAUUCGCCCCAGCUCCCCGCUGUGGGUCUCUGCUCAGCUGGCUGGUUAGACCGGCCCUGUCGUGACCCAGCAUGAGUCACAGGGGAGACUCUGUAAACUUGCCGACAGUCUGUCAUCAUCCCCUCCCUUGCAAAGCUAGACCUGAAGAUGCGUCUUUGUUGGUCAUUCUUGAUGUGUUAAUGAGCACUGUACAUCUCUAGAAACUCUCCAAGACUACCCUCAGUCGUUUGUACUGCCACAGAACCUCAAGAUCCCUGUCCAAAUACAUUUCCUUUCAUUUGAUAAAUCCUUGAGUAUUUCCAGGAAAAUAUUAUCCAUAUGUUUCUAUUUUGUGUCCACUUACUUCAUCCUACUGUUUCGGAAGGAAAAAUUGGUAUUAUCCAAGCAGUGUCAUCAUCUUUCUUUCCUUUCCUUUGGGAGACAGGAUGGCCACAGUCUUAACCAAGUUCAAGACUGGCUGGAGACUGAAAGCCACAGGUUUUAACUUUACAAAGACUAUUUUCCUCUUCCUAAUCAAAGAGGCCAGGCUGAGGACCCACAGAAGGCAAAACCAUUUUAAUAGCAGGAUGGACAAAACAGAAAUACCCAAAUAAAUUAUCCAUCACACAAUUUAUAUUCUUUUGACAAUGUUUUCUUGAGUACUUAAAAUGUUCUUGUCCUCUAACCCCAAAAUUCUACUUCUAGGAAAUUGUCCUAAAGGCAUGGUCAGAGAUACACAAACAGAUUAAAUUUAUUUGAAACUAAAUAUCCAACAAUAUGUUAUUGUUAAACUAAAUUAUAGUAUGUCCAAAACUUGAAAUACUAUGCAGCCAUUAAUGGAUAUUUUGUGACAUAGGAAAAUGUUAGUAACAAGGAAGCUACACAGAAGUGGCGUGAGAUUUAGUUAUUUAAAAAUUAAUGGGAGAGAAUAAAGUGGUGAGUGCUUCUUCCAUCCCGUUUGUAGCAUCUUUGCUCUAGAAUGAGAGGGAAUUUCCUUCCAUGUCCCAAGAGUUCAUUUCUGGACAGUUGGGAUUCUGUGCUCAGAGGACAGUUAACAAAUCUCUUUUUACUAACUGCUAUGUGUAAAAUAUAUAAACAGCAAAUUUCUUCUGUAUAGC